rnacentral:rRNA from 1 species
UUCCAGACUCCUACGGGAGGCAGCAGUGGGGGAUAUUGCACAAUGGGGGAAACCCUGAUGCAGCGACGCCGCGUGAGUGAAGAAGUAUUUCGGUAUGUAAAGCUCUAUCAGCAGGGAAGAAGAUGACAGUACCUGAGUAAGAAGCCCCGGCUAACUACGUGCCAGCAGCCGCGGUAAUACGUAGGGAGCGAGCGUUGUCCGGAAUUACUGGGUGUAAAGGGAGCGUAGGCGGGGAUGCAAGUUGGGUGUCAAAACUACCGGCUCAACUGGUAGUCGCACUCAAAACUGCAGCUCUUGAGUGAAGUAGAGGCAGGCGGAAUUCCUAGUGUAGCGGUGAAAUGCGUAGAUAUUAGGAGGAACACCAGUGGCGAAGGCGGCCUGCUGGGCUUUUACUGACGCUGAGGCUCGAAAGUGUGGGGAGCAAACAGGAUUAGAUCCUCGUAGG